UCCCAACCCUCCUGUGACCACAGCAGUCAAAGCCAGCUCUAGAGCAGGUAUUGCCCUGAGCUGUGGCAAGAGCGGUGUCUCAUAGCAGAGGACAGGAUGGAAGAACGGGAAUUUCUGGUUUUCUUUCCACAAAGAGAUUGAAACCAAGAUUACUAUCAUAGAACGAGUAAGCCCUGAGGCUUAUCACCACACUGUGGGAUCCUGGGAACAAAAACAGACAUACUCUCAAUAGUAGACGAUAAAAGAAAUGUGAGCUUAUCUUCUACUCAAACCAGUAAUGCAGAGUGACUCUGCCAUUGAAGUUAUAGCCACCUGCUGGCUCUGGCUUUGAAUUUGCUUAAGCCAACUUGCAAUAAAGUGGAGACGAUCAAGGUGUUUACCAGGAAAAUCAGGCAUCAGGCUUACAAAAUUGUCUUUAUUUCCUGAACAGAAUAGGAUGUGUGACGAUACCAACAAGAACGAUUGCCCCGCCAUCUCCAUUUUCGUUACCCUUGGUCUACCUCUGCCUGGAAGCCGAUGAGUCUCCUUCUAAAAUAUUGUCAGAAGGUCUUUCCACGCUCUGCACACCUGGCCUGGUGUGUCUAUCUGCUGCACAACACUCCGUAUAUCUUCACCGGAUACCCCUUUUCCAUUCUUGUGCAAAGGGAUAUCUACACUGCCCCCAGCUCACCAGUCAAACUAUGACAGUUUAAAAACUUGCUUCAUCAAGAGGCACGUACUUACUGAUGUGAUCUUUCAGGACCAGGUGAAGAGAACAGAUACUGUAGUUGGACACAGACUCUAAGAGGAUAACCUGUCAGCUCUGUGUUGUCUAAUUGGCCGAUGAACAAGAAUGCCUGGGAGUCUGAAAGCAAAGUCCAAAGUGGAUUGAUGGACAUAAUUAUUCUAAAACCAGUGUUUUUCAAACCUUUUCCCCCCUGAAGCACACUAAGAAAUACCUUUUAUAAAACUUCCUGAAAUGGACACUGUUGGCAACCCUGUGCAGGCUGGUGCUCCCAUUUCCCAGCUGUCAGGAGCACUGCCUCCUCCUCUGGAGGUGAGAACCUCAGCUGAGCUGAGCACGAGCUGCCUUCCCAGAGGUUACGUACCUCUGUUCCUCAGAGCAGCCCAUAGCCAACAUUGACAUGAGGAUUCAAGAGGCGCUACCCGCUUGUCUCAGGCAGCACCAGCUCCGGUACAAUUCAAACCACGGGAUUUGGUGUCAGAGAACACCCUUGCUCAGCACGUCCUCUGCCUCCUCCAGCUUCUUCCUCAUUUUUCUGGGAGCACUCCCUAAAGACAUCACAGGCACCCAAAUUCUUUUCUUGAGCUCUGCUUCCAAGGAAUCCGAGUUAAGACAAUACCCAAC